AACCAUAGAAACCUGCGGAGUACCUGCGGAAGGAUCAUUAACAAAUUAUAAUUAUAUAGAAUGUUAAUUAUUCACCCAAUUUUAAUGUGAAGUUUUGGUUAAAAGUAUGAUAACUCUGGUAUGGUUUUUUCAGACGGUUGUCUUUUUGAGAUGAGGUUUGAAAAUGAAUUGCCUGCCAGUAGUUUUUAUCUAAUAAACUACUGUUAUAUUUUGUGUGUGUAUUUGUUAUUCUGAUGAAAG
rnacentral:misc_RNA from 1 species